AUGCAGCUGACAUAAUGUUAUUGAGGCAGUUACAUCAAUUAUUUGUGAUGCUAAUAAAUAUAUACAUAAACUUCCAAACAUAUGUAUUUUGAAAAGGGGUGAAUAAUGUGA